rnacentral:rRNA from 1 species
AGUCGAACGAGAAUCUCUUCGGAGAGGACAGUGGCGCACGGGUGCGUAACACGUGGAUAACCAACCCCCUGGUUCGGGACAACACUGGGAAACCGGUGCUAAUACCGUAUGUGACGCACAGAUCGUCAGGUUUGUGCGAGAAAGGCACGCAAGGGUCGCCAGGGGACGGGUCCGCGUCCCAUCAGCUUGUUGGUGAGGUAAUGGCUCACCAAGGCUAAGACGGGUAGCUGGUCUGAGAGGAUGAUCAGCCACACUGGAACUGAGACACGGUCCAGACUCCUACGGGAGGCAGCAGUGGGGAAUAUUGCGCAAUGGGCGAAAGCCUGACGCAGCCACGCCGCGUGAGCGAUGAAGGUCCUAGGAUCGUAAAGCUCUGUGGAGGGAGAAGAACAAAGCCGGUGAAGAGCCGGCCCUGACGGUAUCCCUUUAGCAAGCACCGGCUAACUCCGUGCCAGCUGCC